rnacentral:lncRNA from 1 species
UUUACUAUAACAUAUGAAGAAACUACGAUAGUGAACAAACGAUUGAUCCAAAAGAUUAACUACCAAAAUCUAGUGAUCAACCCCAAGACGUUAGAUGGACGAAAGCAUACAUUUGAUGAAACACAACUUUCCAACGGAACAUUUGAGCAAAGUGUCGAUCAACCCAUUCCAAAACAUAAGCGAGAAUAUUCAGGAAUAAUUUAAACACUCGUACUCAAACUAAAACAAGCUUUCAUCCAUGAGUAUUUUAAUCAAAAUAAGAUAGAACAAAAUGAAACCAAAGAAACUCCACAGUAACAUGUUUAUCACACAACACUUAAAAUCUAAACAAAAC